UGCAAGUCGAGGGGUAUAGGUAGCUUGCUAUUUAGAGACCGGCGCACGGGUGCGUAACGCGUAUGCAAUCUACCUUUUACAGGGGGAUAGCCCAGAGAAAUUUGGAUUAAUACCCCAUGGUAUUAUAGGAUGGCAUCAUUUUAUAAUUAAAGUCACAACGGUAAAAGAUGAGCAUGCGUCCCAUUAGCUAGUUGGUAAGGUAACGGCUUACCAAGGCAACGAUGGGUAGGGGUCCUGAGAGGGAGAUCCCCCACACUGGUACUGAGACACGGACCAGACUCCUACGGGAGGCAGCAGUGAGGAAUAUUGGACAAUGGGCGCAAGCCUGAUCCAGCCAUGCCGCGUGCAGGAUGACGGUCCUAUGGAUUGUAAACUGCUUUUGUACAGGAAGAAACCCUUUCACGUGUGAAAGAUUGACGGUACUGUAAGAAUAAGGAUCGGCUAACUCCGUGCCAGCAGCCGCGGUAAUACGGAGGAUCCAAGCGUUAUCCGGAAUCAUUGGGUUUAAAGGGUCCGUAGGCGGUCUAGUAAGUCAGUGGUGAAAGCCCAUCGCUCAACGGUGGAACGGCCAUUGAUACUGCUAGACUUGAAUUACUAGGAAGCAACUAGAAUAUGUAGUGUAGCGGUGAAAUGCUUAGAUAUUACAUGGAAUACCAAUUGCGAAGGCAGGUUGCUACUAGUUUAUUGACGCUGAUGGACGAAAGCGUGGGUAGCGAACAGGAUUAGAUACCCUGGUAGUCCACGCCGUAAACGAUGGAUACUAGCUGUUGGGCGUAAGUUCAGUGGCUAAGCGAAAGUGAUAAGUAUCCCACCUGGGGAGUACGAACGCAAGUUUGAAACUCAAAGGAAUUGACGGGGGCCCGCACAAGCGGUGGAGCAUGUGGUUUAAUUCGAUGAUACGCGAGGAACCUUACCAAGGCUUAAAUGUAGAUUGACCGGUUUGGAAACAGACUUUUCGCAAGACAAUUUACAAGGUGCUGC
rnacentral:rRNA from 1 species